rnacentral:rRNA from 1 species
UACAUGGGGUGCAAACGUUGCUCGGAAUUAUUGGGCGUAAAGCGCACGUAGGCGGUUCGUUAAGUCGGAUGUGAAAGCCCUCGGCUCAACUGAGGAAGUGCACCCGAAACUGGCGAGCUUGAGUACGAAAGAGGAUCGCGGAAUUCCCGGUGUAGAGGUGAAAUUCGUAGAUAUUGGGAGGAACACCGGUGGCGAAGGCGGCGAUCUGGGUCGAUACU